rnacentral:misc_RNA from 1 species
GCAAACUUGGUCAUUUAGAGGAAGUAAAAGUCGUAACAAGGUUUCCGUAGGUGAACCUGCGGAAGGAUCAUUAACGAAUUGUAUGAACUUGGCUGUCGCUGGCUUUUCAUUUGCAUGUGCACGCCUUGUUCAAACUUUUCAAACUUUACCCCCUGUGCACUUUUGUGAAUCGUAGACUUGGAUAUAUGCGUCAAAUUAACAUUUGGUUCUGGGGAUUUGAACGCUGGUUCAUUUCUCUACAUCUGUUUUACGGUUCAUGUCUUUAUUACAAACCUGUACAUUAAAGAAUGCAUAACAAGUUGGGAACUUUUGUAACCCUUCUUAAACUAUAUACAACUUUCAACAACGGAUCUCUUGGCUCUCGCAUCGAUGAAGAACGCAGC